AACGAACGCUGGCGGCAGGCUUAACACAUGCAAGUCGAACGCCCCGCAAGGGGAGUGGCAGACGGGUGAGUAACGCGUGGGAAUCUACCCAGAUCUACGGAACAACAGUUGGAAACGACUGCUAAUACCGUAUACGCCCUACGGGGGAAAGAUUUAUCGGAUUUGGAUGAGCCCGCGUUGGAUUAGCUAGUUGGUGGGGUAAUGGCCUACCAAGGCGACGAUCCCUAGCUGGUCUGAGAGGAUGAUCAGCCACACCAGGACUGAGACACGGCCCAGACUCCUACGGGAGGCAGCAGUGUGGAAUAUUGGACAAGGGGCGCAAGCCUGAUCCAGCCAUGCCGCGGGAGUGAUGAAGGCCUUAGGGUUAUAAAGCUCUUUCACCGAUGAAGAUAAUGACGGUAGUCGGAGAAGAAGCCCCGGCUAACUUCGUGCCAGCAGCCGCGGUAACAC
rnacentral:rRNA from 1 species